rnacentral:rRNA from 1 species
UACGAAGGGGACUAGCGUUGUUCGGAAUCACUGGGCGUAAAGCGUACGCAGGCGGCUUUGCAAGACAGGUGUGAAAUCCCCGGGCCUAACCUGGGAACUGCAUUUGUGACUGCAUGGCUAGAGUUUGUCAGAGGGGGGUGGAAUUCCACGUGUAGCAGUGAAAUGCGUAGAUAUGUGGAGGAACACCGAUGGCGAAGGCAGCCCCCUGGGAUGUGACUGACGCUCAUGUACGAAAGCGUGGGGAGCAAACAGG